rnacentral:rRNA from 1 species
UGCGUAGGCGGCGAGGCAAGUUGGGUGUGAAAGCCCUCGGCUCAACCGAGGAAUUGCGCCCAAAACUGCCCUGCUCGAGGGAGACAGAGGUGAGCGGAACUUGCGGUGGAGCGGUGAAAUGCGUUGAUAUCGCAAGGAACACCAGUGGCGAAAGCGGCUCACUGGGUCUCUUCUGACGCUGAGGCACGAAAGCUAGGGAGCGAAGA